AAAGUAGUGAAAAAUCAUGCUUGAUUCGAGUAAUGAGCAUUUGUGUGAUUUGAGUCAAAUGGGAAAAUAGUUUGGAACAAGAUCUACACUUUAUGAGAAACCCAUUUUGCCAUGAUUCGAGUCACGAAAAAGUUCUGAUUCGAGUCACACAAGGCUUGAUUUGAGUCACGAAUAAGUGGUGAUUCGACUAAGAAAAGACAGGGGCAAACCAACAUUCAUGAUUCGACUCAUGAACAAGUUGUGAUUAGUGUC
rnacentral:lncRNA from 1 species